UACAGAGGGUGCGAGCGUUGUCCGGAAUCACUGGGCGUAAAGGGCGCGUAGGCGGCUUGAUAAGGUUGCGGUGAAAGCCCGGGGCUCAACCCCGGGUCGGCCGUGGCAACUGUCGAGCUGGAGCACUGUAGAGGCAGGUGGAAUUCCGGGUGUAGCGGUGGAAUGCGUAGAUAUCGGGAGGAACACCAGAGGCGAAGGCGGCGAACUGGACGAUUACUGACACUCAAUUGCGAAAGCGUGGGGAGCAAACAGG
rnacentral:rRNA from 1 species